rnacentral:SRP_RNA from 1 species
UGGCAGGCUAGACUGGGAAUUUGGCCUUAUUCCUGUAACCGCAAAUAGGCCUCAUGGCGGAGUUGAAGCAACCGGGCGAUGCCUAUUGCUUUUGUGAGUCCUGAUUUGGACGACGAUGUCUUGUCCCAUAUGGUCGCAAGCAAGGGAAACCGGGUCAGGCCUUGACGGGAGCAGCCCUAACUUUUGUUGGUGGCGCUUAUGGGGUUUCAGGGCUGAGGAAGAAUCAGGGUAGCCCACAUUGGUGGUAGGCCCCAACUGGUUGCAUGCCUGCCA